rnacentral:tRNA from 1 species
AUGGAGCAUAGCCAAGUGGUAAGGCAUCCGUUUAUGGUACCGACAUGCAAAGGUUUGAAUCCUUUGACUCCAUA